UACGGGGGGGGCAAGCGUUGUUCGGAAUUACUGGGCGUAAAGGGCGCGUAGGCGGCUCAUGAAGGCUGUGGUGAAAGUCCGGGGCUCAACCUCGGAUCGGCCGUGGCGACUCGUGGGCUGGAGCACUGUAGAGGCGGGUGGAAUUCCGGGUGUAGCGGUGGAAUGCGUAGAGAUCCGGAAGAACACCAGUGGCGAAGGCGGCCCGCUGGGCAGUGGCUGACGCUGAGGCGCGACAGCGUGGGGAGCAAACAGG
rnacentral:rRNA from 1 species